AAGUAAAAAUACAAUAGAUGCAAAAUGACAACCAAAAAAAAGCUGUUAAAGGGCUGUUUACUACAAAAUGCUGAUUCUCUGAUUGAUCUAUCAGACUGUCGAUCAGUGAUUCUCCAUGCACACAACAAACAAACAAAGCUGUGCUGCAGCAACACACAAACAUUAAACUUCCAAGAAAUAAAAUAAUAUAGUAAAGUAUAAUAAUUGACCAUGUUUAUGGUCAGUGCUAUCAUCCAGCUCUCUUUAUACACCCAUGAACUGAGGGCGUCAUGGAGUAAUGAACAGGGAAGUUGGCUUCAUUUAAUUUAUUCCCACAUUUGCAAUGAUGUCAAGAUGCAAACAAAUACAGUUAAAAUUCAAAAGAAGACAAUAGUCAGUGAUUCAGACAAAUAAAUUAAACUUAAUUAAUAAAUAAAUAAAAAACUAAGAAAAAUAAACGUAGGAAAAAUAAACAAAAAUAAAAAUGUGUAUUUUCCACCUCUAAAAAGGUUGGGUGAGAUUUCAGACAGACUCAGCUUCGCUUUUUGUUUUUCCUUAAUUUGAUACAAGGAAUGGUUCUGAAAACUACAGUUCCCAUGAGCCACUGCAGCUCAAGUGUUUGAGCAUAUUCAGAAAGCUUUGUUGCUGCGAGCUGCUGAAACAACCAAAAAUCUGAAAGUUAAUUGAAUCAAGUGUAACUUCACCAAACCAUUAACAGCAGAACCUGAAGGCCUCUUACUGCAAAGCUUUCUGGGACUCGUAGUUGACUUCUCUGAUCGUGGACAUCGUCCUUAUCCAUCACAGAUUGAGUCUCAGCUGUUUUGGGGUCAGAAGGUAAUGUGACAGCCUUUCCCUCUCUCUGAUCCAGCUGCAGGGUCAGUAAAACGAAACACUGAUCGAACAUUAAACUGAGAUUUUUGAAGCCUGCACAACAUCAACAGUGACUCAUGCCUGUGACUCACUUGUUGUGGCAUCCAUGUUUGACAUUUCAUUAUAGAGAUGUGGGCAGUUAAUUUGGACCGUCUUUCUACUGGGAAACACCCACCCACACACUAAUAAAAAGAGAGAUGACAGCCUACUUUAUGGAGAGAGACGAUUGUUUAUCGUCCUAUUAACAGAUUUAUUGGUGUUUAUUGUUGAGGUUGCAGGAGACAGAAACAGGAAGCAGUGGGAAGGAGAGGACGGUUCAGACCUGGUGUUUUGUUUCCAGAUCAGUGACCUCUACUGAUCAAAUUUUACCUCCUUUCUUCUCGGCUGAUUCAGCAAAACAUCCACCAAACACGACCUCACCUCGGCUACAAAUGUCAAAGCCGACAUGUCUGCUGGAGGUUUGCUGGUCUUUAAACACACCGAAAAGUUAGAUAUCCAUCAGCUGGGCGGAACUGACUUGUACAAAGUGUUGUCGUAGCCGAGGUCGUAGGUUUGCAUACGGACGGUAGGGACACGACCCAACCAAUAGUUGAGUGAACUCGUUCGCACUAUGUUUGGUGUGAAGUCAUAUUAUAUCAUUCCAAUGUGCCUGCCAAGAGGCCACGUCUCCAAGGCAACCGAUUUAGGCAUGCUAGCAUAUGAUUGGCUGAAAGGGCAGGGGCUGAAAAGGCUAACGUCAUAUGAGAAUAUCACAGUUGUACCUAACGUCACCAGAAAAAUGUCAACUGAUGUUAUUUAACCAUGUUAGCUAGUGUUAACUAGCAAGCUAACUGUGGCUUCAGUCUUAUGUAGGCUAGCAGUGAGGCUGCUAGCAGGAAUAAAGAUAAAAUGGUGGAUAUAUGAAAGUAUGAGUUGAGUUUCUGUCGAGAAAUCCCAUGAAAAUGUCGCCAUGAAUGAAUGAUUUUGUGGUAGGUCGAGAAGCUAAUGAGGAAACUCUUUCAGGGUUUAAAAUGAUAGUGUGAUUAAAUAUAUGUAAUUAUGGAUUAAUUUGAAAUUACUGACUUACAUCUACCAUAACCAUAGGCUCUGAGCCUCUCUUCUGAUUGGCUGAUCCAAUAAAAAUAAAGCAGAUUUCAGGUAAAAACACUCAGAGAAACCAAAUCCUGCAAGGUUUGGAUGGUGGGUCCAGGUGGGCGGGGCUUGGUGACUGCUUUGUUGUGACAUCACAAAGUUCCAGAAGUCCUGACGGCUGGUUUUAAGGCUCAGUUUCUGAAUACAGGCUGUGUGCAUUUCUCUGUGGACUGAGGCUUUGAUACUUUCACAGUAUUAAUAUAGAAGCUAGAGCUGAUCUAUAAUCACACUACACAUGGACACAGACCUUUACACUGGAGGAGCUUUAACUUACUGCUGCAGCUUAUUAACUUUUAACAUUACUUCACCCACAGCUGAAGUUUAUGGAUUUUAUUUCACUUGCCGAUGAUAUCUUUCUGGACUGUUGCUCCAUGUUUGAUUCCCGUCCACUGAGCCACCUGGACGUCCUCAUGGUGACUUCCUAAAAACCCACAGUAAAAAUAUAAUUUGUGCGAGGGAGGUGCUCCUCGCUUCCUCUCAGCUCCACGAUCUUCUCGUAGAAUCCGUUUGACACCCACCUACUCACAAUGUGACACGGAGGCCCGGUUUGUGCGCCAAAAAUACUGCCUGGAGUGUUUACAGUCAGAGCGUGACGUCGCAGUUCUCCUGAAGCAACAAGUUGUUUUUAUUGGUAGGAAGCGAAGGCAGGCUGAAAAUAGACAGCGUGAUUCAGAGCUCGGACGGUUUUAGCCCUGAUGUGGAGCCAAACUGUGGAAGCCCUGCGUAGGUCGUCCUCCAAAUCAAAUAAACAGGAUGAAUUAUUAUUCUGCAACACACACACAGAGCCGUGUAUAUUUAUAACACAACAGUAAACAGCAGAAACACAGUGUCGCCGUGUGUUUGUUGUCAUGUCAGUCUGUCACUGUCACAGAGUCGUGAAGCUGGAGGAGACCCCGACCUGAAAUGUAGAAAGAUGAACAGCUGCUGUUGAAGAAUAUCUGCCUCUGUGGAUAAAAAGGCAAAGAAAAUAUAAAAAACUACAACUCCCAGAGUGCAUUUUGUGACAUUUUGCAGGUGAAACUGAGGGGCCUCCCUGACCCGCUUGGGCCCAUUGGUCUGUGUCCAGCGGGCCUGUCCAGUGAUCCAUCCAUGCCUACAGUUCUAGGCCUCGUACCCGGCGGAGCGGCGGCGCUGGUGGUUCCAGAUGUCGUCUCUGUGCUCGGGUCGGCAGAACAACCUGGACGACUGGGCCAGCCGCUCCCGGUGCUCCCGCUCCCGGUCUCGCUCCGCGCCG